GGUCACAGACAGAAGAGGUCCACAAGGCAAAGGAUGCAGACAGCCUGUAGGAGCUGAGACUGGCUCCUGGCUGACAGCCAGCAAGGAAAUGAGGACCUCAGUCCUCCAAUCAUGAAGCAGACUCCGACUUCUGCUAACAACCUGAAUACACUUCAAAGAGGAUUCUGAGCUCCAGCCGCCUACACAUUGAUUUCAGCUGUUGGGACCCUCAGCCGAGAACCCAGCUAUGCCGUGCCCAGAU
rnacentral:lncRNA from 1 species